GCGCGGCCUAUACAUGCAAGUCGAACGCACAGCGAAAGGUGCUUGCACCUUUCAAGUGAGUGGCGAACGGGUGAGUAACACGUGGAUAACCUACCUCAAGGUUGGGGAUAACAUUUGGAAACAGAUGCUAAUACCGAAUAAAACUUAGUAUCGCAUGAUACCAGGUUAAAAGGCGCUACGGCGUCACCUAGAGAUGGAUCCGCGGUGCAUUAGUUAGUUGGUGGGGUAAAGGCUUACCAAGACAAUGAUGCAUAGCCGAGUUGAGAGACUGAUCGGCCACAUUGGGACUGAGACACGGCCCAAACUCCUACGGGAGGCUGCAGUAGGGAAUCUUCCACAAUGGGCGAAAGCUUGAUGGAGCAACGCCGCGUGUGUGAUGAAGGCUUUCGGGUCGUAAAGCACUGUUGUAUGGGAAGAACAGCUAGAGUAGGGAAUGACUUUAGUUUGACGGUACCAUACCAGAAAGGGACGGCUAAAUACGUGCCAGCAGCCGCGGUAAUACGUAUGUCCCGAGCGUUAUCCGGAUUUAUUGGGCGUAAAGCGAGCGCAGACGGUUAAUUAAGUCUGAUGUGAAAGCCCGGAGCUCAACUCCGGAAAGGCAUUGGAAACUGGUUAACUUGAGUGCAGUAGAGGUAAGUGGAACUCCCAUGUGUAGCGGUGGAAUGCGUAGAUAUAUGGAAGAACACCAGCGGCGAAGGCGGCUUACUGGACUGUAACUGACGUUGAGGCUCGAAAGUGU
rnacentral:rRNA from 1 species